UGAAGAUGUUGGCCUGGAAUUUCCUGC
rnacentral:piRNA from 1 species